UACAGAGGUCUCAAGCGUUGUUCGGAUUCAUUGGGCGUAAAGGGUGCGUAGGCGGCGCGGUAAGUCGGGUGUGAAAUUUCGGAGCUUAACUCCGAAACUGCAUUCAAUACUGCGGUGCUUGAGGACUGGAGAGGAGACUGGAAUUCAUGGUGUAGCAGUGAAAUGCGUAGAGAUCAUGAGGAAGACCAGUGGCGAAGGCGGGUCUCUGGACAGUUCCUGACACUGAGGCACGAAGGCCAGGGGAGCAAACGGG
rnacentral:rRNA from 1 species